CAGCACAGUCUGCACUUGGUCACCACCGCCAGACGCUGGUGCAGAGCUGGUCUGUGGCUCCUGCUGCAGGCAGUGAACUCCAGAUGUGACUUCUUAAGGGGAAGGAAUUCCAGAUAAGAGUCUCUAGCAUGUUUCUCACCUUCAAAGAAGACAGAAUAUGGUUCCAUGUAAGUCUGAAUCCUCUUGGACAGGCCCAGGCAGAUCCCAGGGUCAAAAGACAGAGUGAAGAGAAUGAUCCUGAGUGACUAGCCAAAGCUGACAAUUUGAAGUUGUUCACUGAAAGCUCAGCUGACUAGAAUUUCACUUUGUAAAGGGAAAGCUGCCCACUAUGCCAUCAGCAUGCAGACACAAGAAGACUCUGCAAAGCGCACCAAAACAAAUGUCAGCAAAGGAGUGACUUCCCUUUGGCCGGGUCACAAGAUGGAGAAUGAUCUUUCUACGCUCAUACAAAAAAUUCAGUCAGCCCUUGAAUCCAGACAACUGGGCUCCCCAGCCAGCAGACUCCUCGCUUCACUGCCUCACCAAAGCUCCGAGCUCAGACAACUCAAGCCAGCAGCCCAUCAACACGGCAAACAGUUUCAACAAGACUAUAAAUGUCAUGGUAGAUGUCAGAUGAUGAAUGGGAUUCCUCCUCAGCAAAGAGAGCCAUAGUGGGAAAAUACAAUGGGAUUCCCAUGGAAUUAAAUCCCCCAUCUCCCCA